GACGAACGCUGGCGGCGUGCUUAACACAUGCAAGUCAUGGGGACCCAGCAAUGGGUAACCGGCGAACGGGUGCGUAACACGUGAGUGACCUGCCGAUUUGUGGGGGAUAGCCGGGCCAACGCCCGGGUAAUACCGCAUACGCUCUUCUUGGGGCAUCUCUAGAAGAGGAAACCUCCGGGGCAAAUCGAGGGACUCGCGGCCUAUCAGCUAGUUGGCGAGGUAACGGCUCACCAAGGCUACGACGGGUAGCUGGUCUGAGAGGAUGGCCAGCCACAUUGGGACUGAGAUACGGCCCAGACUCCUACGGGAGGCAGCAGUGGGGAAUAUUGCGCAAUGGCCUAACGGCUGACGCAGCGACGCCGCGUGUGGGAUGACGCCCUUCGGGGUGUAAACCACUGUUGCUCGAGACGAAUAGCGAGCUUUAGCUCGCCUGACGGUAUCGAGUGAGGAAGCACCGGCUAACUCCGUGCCAGCAGCCGCGGUAAUACGGAGGGUGCGAGCGUUGUCCGGAAUCACUGGGCGUAAAGGGCGCGUAGGUGGUCAGGUAAGGGUGUGGUGAAAGUCCGGGGCUCAACCCCGGAUCUGCCGUGCCGACUGCUUGACUGGAGCAUUGCAGAGGCAGAUGGAAUUCCGGGUGUAGCGGUGGAAUGCGUAGAGAUCCGGAAGAAGACCGGUGGCGAAGGCGAUCUGCUGGGCAAUGGCUGACACUGAGGCGCGACAGCGUGGGGAGCAAACAGGAUUAGAUACCCUGGUAGUCCACGCCGUAAACGAUGGGCACUAGGUCUCUGGGGGAGCGACCCCUUGGGGGCCGGCGCAAAAGCAUGAAGUGCCCC
rnacentral:rRNA from 1 species